AUAGUUUGUUUCAUUUAAACGCCAUAAUUUACCAUUUCAUUAUUUAUAUAGCCUGAAGGUAGCCUGCAACGACAGGAUCUAUUCUCAACCACAUAAAUCAAUAGCACAUUGUGGCAAUCAUAACGCAUCACUAUGAUGUCAUAAAUUUGUUCCUACCAUGGUAAACAUAAACAGUAUCACUCUAUAUUCACUCUCCUCUCACCCUAAUCUCACAUAAAAUUCUCGUAAGAAAAACUCGAAUUCGGAAAAGUCAUCGAGUGUGACGCGAGAUCGUAAACAAUAGUAGCAUCCCCUCAGCUAUUGUUAUUUGUUCCGGUCUUAUUGAGACGUUUACAAUAAGAUUUCUUUCGUAAACUAAAUGAAAAUGUGUUUUAAAUAUAUUUAAAAAUGUCUGUUACUUGGAAUACAAGUGGUUUGUGCCGCUGUUGUCACGCUGAGGGGAAUUUUAAACCCAUAAAUACAUACGCAUCUGACUCAGUCGACCAAGAUUGUUUUGUUUCUUUGAAAGACACUUUUGAUAUAAUACUUAACCCUUUACCAAAUGCUUCAGGCUACAGUAUAUGUGGUUUGUGUGAGCCAAGAUUGAGAGAUGCAGCCGUCUUCAAAAGACAAGUCCAACAAUGUGAGGACAAACUGAAGAAAUACCUGUAUGACUGCGGGUAUAAAGAUAUUUUAGAGGGAGAUGUGAAGUAUGAAUUAGAUCAGAAUGGAAUGAAAGAAGAAUCAAAUCAAAUAGAUGAACAAUUGGAAUUGAAAUAUGAAGAUGGCCGUCUCCAAGACCUGCCAAUCUUCAUCCCACCUCUAGAAGAUGAUGACCAGCCACUAUCCGUACUCAGAAGCACUAGAUCUGAACAGCAUCCUGAGGAUACAGAACCAGACGCUGACUGGGCAGCAGCUCCUGACUUGACUGAUGACGAAGACGCAAAACCGAAACACCAGCGCUCAAAAAAGUACGCCUGCGAUAUAUGCCAAAAGAAAUUCUCAUACAAUGGUUCUCUAGAAGUUCACAUGAAAGCUCACAGCGGUGAGAAAAGUUUCACUUGUCACUUAUGUAGCACAACACAUACAAACAACAAGGAACUUACCAAACACAUAGCAAUAGACCAUGUCGUCAACGAUAACUACCCUUGCACACUAUGCGAGAAAGUUUUCGAAAAACCAAGGCUAUUAAAAAAACACAUUCAAACUCAUUUCGACGAAAAAUUCAAAUGUAGCGAGUGCAGCAAAGAGUUUCAAAGGAAAAAAGGUUUGAAAGAACACAUGAAGAUUCAUACUGGGGAGAGGAAAUACUCUUGUACAGUUUGCAGCAAAGCUUUCGGUCAUAAUCAGACUUUAAAGUCUCAUAUGUACACACACACUGGGGAGAAACCAUACGUCUGCGAUGUUUGUGGUAGGAGAUUCCAACAGCGCACGCAUUUGAAACGACACAUCUUCAUAAUACAUACUGGAAUCAAACCCCACGCAUGCAACGUAUGCAACAAGCAGUUUUCAAGCAAAAGCUAUUUGGUCAUCCAUGAAAGACAGCAUACUGGCGAAAAACCUUAUUCAUGCGAAGUCUGUAAAAAAGAUUUUACUGCUUAUACGACUUUGAAAGUCCAUAUGCGAGUGCAUACCGGGUUCAAACCUUACACAUGCAGUUUUUGUAGCCGGCAAUUCGCUCAAAUGGCGAGUUUUAAAUUGCAUCAAAGAACGCAUACGGGUGAAAAGCCUUUCUCAUGUAAAAUAUGCAAAAAACCUUUUUCAGACAAUGGGUAUUUAAAAAUUCAUAUGCGCGUCCAUUCUGGAGAAAAACCAUUCUCAUGCGACGUAUGUAAACGCUGUUUUAGAGAAACUGGACAAUUAAAACGUCAUAUGCGAGUCCACACCGGGGUAAAGCCUUACACAUGCAAAAUAUGUAACAAGCAAAUAGGCAAUUUGUCGAAGCAUAUGCGGAUUCAUUCUGAGGAGAGGCCUUAUAGCUGUCACGUAUGCAACAAGCAGUUUUCUGUUAAUGGGAACUUGAAGUUGCAUAUGCGAAUUCACACGGGCGAAAGGCCCUUUGCAUGUGAAAUAUGUAGCAGUCAGUUUACGCAAUCGAGUGGUUUAAAAAGGCAUAGGUGUACGCAUAGCAAGGGCGAUGUUUUAAGUGCCUAAGAAGAGGAAAAAAAAUCUUUAAUACGGUAUUCCAACAAAUAUACCCGAGACGUUCAUCGAAACCGGCAACCGCUGAACAAAAGAGACGAGAAAAACGAUUUAUAAAAAACAUAUUGGUCUUCUUUGACUUCUUAAGAAGGGUUAAAGGAAGGAAUGAUACGUUUCUAGAAGACAUAUUUCUCGAUAAUGGCACGUUUCUAGACGAAGAGAUCGUGUUAGAAUGGUUUACAGAAAAGAAGUACUUGCCUAAUGAUACCCGUCGCGAUAUCACGGAUGCACAAGCUAUGAUUGAUGCGUUAACCAAAGGCAAAGAGGAUAAACGCGAAGAGACUUUCUACGAACCUUACUGGGAAAGUGGAGAGUGGGUCUUUAUGCGGACUGGGACGCCGACGACGACUAUGGAACAAAAGUAUUGGACAGACAGUUGGGGAUACUGUAAGUCCUCUUAUCUUAUGGCUGACUAGCCUAAAAAGCUAAAGUAUUUGUAGAGGCUCUACUUAGGUAAGUUGUAAGUAUGAUACAAAGCUUACAACUUUAAAUAAUGACAUAUUGUGGCCGAUA